rnacentral:tRNA from 1 species
AGUAAGGUCAGCUAACCAAGCUACCGGGCCCAUACCCCGGAAAUGAUGGUUUAACCCCUUCCCUUACUA